rnacentral:rRNA from 1 species
UGGGGAAUAUUGGACAAUGGGCGAAAGCCUGAUCCAGCAAUGCCGCGUGAGUGAUGAAGGCCUUAGGGUUGUAAAGCUCUUUUACCCGGGAUGAUAAUGACAGUACCGGGAGAAUAAGCUCCGGCUAACUCCGUGCCAGCAGCCGCGGUAAUACGGAGGGAGCUAGCGUUGUUCGGAAUUACUGGGCGUAAAGCGCGCGUAGGCGGUUUUUUAAGUCAGAGGUGAAAGCCCAGUGCUCAACACUGGAACUGCCUUUGAAACUGGAAAACUUGAAUCUUGGAGAGGUCAGUGGAAUUCCGAGUGUAGAGGUGAAAUUCGUAGAUAUUCGGAAGAACACCAGUGGCGAAGGCGACUGACUGGACAAGUAUUGACGCUGAGGUGCGAAAGCGUGGGGAGCAAACAG